rnacentral:ncRNA from 1 species
AAUCAGUUGCCACCGGGUAACUUAUACUCAAACAAGCUCAUUAGGUCAUAGAAGAGCUUGCUUGAGUUUUUUAUUUUUA